rnacentral:lncRNA from 1 species
CAUUGAAUAAUACAUUUUUGGAAAGCGUAGACUUUUCCCUAUUUUUCGACAUAAUCGCUGCAUAGAGAUCAAUGCAUUU